rfam:Colius striatus contig46821, whole genome shotgun sequence.
CCCGCCACUGUACCUGUCAGUCACACAGGGGCUGGUACAAUCCAGAGGUGAGCUGACAGAAAUGCCAGCCCAGGAAACAGAGUUACUCUUUGUGUGGGUACCUCUGUGCCGAAGGCUGGGAACAGGG